CGUAUUUUUACAGUUUUAUCGUGUAUUUUAAGAUUAGGCUCGUUUAAGCAUAUGAAACUUAAGCAUAUGAAAAGUGUUGUACCACAGUCUGGACAUGAUUAUUGCAAACCGAAAGAAAUAAUUGGCAUUGUUACGUAAUAUACAAAUCUACUGUACAGAUAGAAAUGCGAAAACAAACUUUUUAAAUUUUAUUAUUGAACAAACACGUUGGAUUUUUAUAUAAAACAACAAUUUAUAUUGCAAUAAAAUAUUAAUACAAAUCAAUUAUCUCGACCAUGCUAAAUUGGAAAUGUUUCUGCAAAUUUUCACGGCGCACUUGACGAGUUGCGUCGGCGCACUAGUGCGCCGCGGCGCCCACUUUGGGAACCGCGGGGUUGGGAAAUAAAUACAAUU